rnacentral:rRNA from 1 species
UACAGAGGUCCCAAGCGUUGUUCGGAUUCACUGGGCGUAAAGGGUGCGUAGGCGGUGAGGUAAGUCGGAUGUGAAAUCUCGGAGCUCAACUCCGAAACUGCAUUGGAAACUGCCUCGCUCGAGGGUUGGAGGGGGGACUGGAAUACUUGGUGUAGCAGUGAAAUGCGUAGAUAUCAAGUGGAACACCAGUGGCGAAGGCGAGUCCCUGGCCAACUCCUGACACUGAGGCACGAAAGCUAGGGGAGCAAACAGG